GAUGAACGCUGGCGGCGUGCCUAAUACAUGCAAGUCGAGCGAAGCGGGGACGGGUGAGUAACGCGUGGAAAACCUCAUAUAAGACUGGGAUACCUUCGGAAACCCGGAGUUAAACCGGAGAGUGAUCGAUGGAUCAGAGCUGGAUUAGCUAGUUGGUAAGGUAACGGCUUACCAAGGCAACGAUGCAUAGCCGACCUGAGAGGGUGAUCGGCCACACUGGAACUGAGACACGGUCCAGACUCCUACGGGAGGCCGCAGUAGGGAAUCUUCCGCAAUGGGCGAAAGCCUGACGGAGCAACGCCGCGUGAGUGAUGAAGGUCUUCGGAUCGUAAAACUCUGUUAUUAGGGAAGCGGUACCUAAUCAGAAAGCCACGGCUAACUACGUGCCAGCAGCCGCGGUAAUUC
rnacentral:rRNA from 1 species